rnacentral:rRNA from 1 species
UACAGAGGGGGCAAGCGUUAUUCGGAAUUAUUGGGCGUAAAGGGCGCGUAGGCGGCUUGGCAAGUGGAUGGUGAAAUCCCUCGGCUUAACUGUGGAACUGCGUCGGAUACUGCGUUGGCUUGAGGAUGGUAGAGGCCAUUAGAACUAGCGGUGUAGCGGUGAAAUGCGCAGAUAUCGCUAGGAAUGCCGGUGGCGAAGGCGGAUGGCUGGGCCACUCCUGACGCUGAGGCGCGAAAGCUAGGGGAGCGAACGGG